rnacentral:rRNA from 1 species
AGCGAACGCUGGCGGCAGGCUUAACACAUGCAAGUCGAGCGGGCCUUUCGGGGUCAGCGGCGGACGGGUGAGUAACGCGUGGGAACGUGCCCUCUGGUUCGGAAUAACUCAGGGAAACUUGAGCUAAUACCGGAUACGCCCUUUUGGGGAAAGGCUUGCUGCCGGAGGAUCGGCCCGCGUCUGAUUAGCUAGUUGGUGAGGUAACGGCUCACCAAGGCGACGAUCAGUAGCUGGUCUGAGAGGAUGAUCAGCCACACUGGGACUGAGACACGGCCCAGACUCCUAUGGGAGGCAGCAGUGGGGAAUAUUGGACAAUGGGCGCAAGCCUGAUCCAGCCAUGCCGCGUGAGUGAUGAAGGCCUUAGGGUUGUAAAGCUCUUUUAUCCGGGACGAUAAUGACGGUACCGGAGGAAUAAGCCCCGGCUAACUUCGUG